rnacentral:miRNA from 1 species
UAUUGCUUGAGAAUACACGUCG